UUUUUCACUCCAUUAAUGGAGGGAAGCUCGAACUUUACAAACUCCAAAAACACAAUUUUUUUUUACUGAAAAUCAGAUAUCAAUGAUGGAAAUGGAAGAUAAAGAGAGUACAGAAUCUGGGUCACUAGGGGUUAACUCGGAGUAUGAUUCACCACCACCACCACCGGCGGCACCAGUGGUGGCAGCAGCAGUAGCAGGAACAAAUGGGAGUUUUAACAGUGGGGGUGGUGGGGUAGUGGUACCCCAAGUUAUGAAUAUGAGUUUAGGAGGAACUGGGGGUGGAGGGGUGGUUGGUAGUGGGGGUAAUGGGGUAGUGGGUAGUGGUGACAAAAAGAAAAGAGGAAGACCAAGAAAAUAUGAUGCUGAUGGAAAUUUAACACCUCAAUAUAUAAAAGCUGCUGCUGCAGCAGCUGCUAAAGCAGCAGCUGCAGUAGGAAGUGGUGGUGGUGGCGGUGUCGUCGGCGGAGCUGUCACUUCACCGGGUGGUGGUGGUGGAGUGACAUCGCCGCCGACUGGUUUUACUAUAACGUCGCCGGUGCUUUCUUCCGGUGGCUUUUCUUCAUCUAAAAGAGGACGUGGAAGGCCUACUGGUGCUGGUAACUUGCAAUUAAUUGCUUCUUUGGGUGAAUUGUUUGCUCACACAGCUGGAGGUGAUUUUAUGCCUCAUGUGGUUACUGUUCAUACUGGAGAGGAUGUGGCAGGAAAGGUUUAUUCUUUUGUGCAGAAGGGUUCAAGAGGGAUCUGUGUUCUGUCUGCAAAUGGUGCUGUUUCGAAUGUUACGAUUCGUCAGCCUGGUUCUUCUGGAGGUCUAUUGACAUAUGAGGGACGCUUUGAGAUCUUAGCAUUAACAGGGUCAUACACUGUUUCUGAUAACGGUGGCAUGAAAACUAGGUCCGGUGGAUUGAGUGUUUCUCUAGCUGGCCCAGAUGGGCGUGUUAUUGGUGGUGGUAUUGCUGGUUCGCUUACGGCUGCAAGCCCCAUCCAAAUGGUGGUUGGAAGUUUCAUGCCAAACGCUUUUAAAACACACAACAAAAGGAAGCAUCAUCAGAUCGAACCAAGAAUGCCUCCAGUCAUCCACAGCUCUCCGGACCCUGUUUCAAUGAUAAGACCUGUCUCACAAGCACCACCGGCGAGCAACAUUACUCUGACUCAGACAUCUCACAUACCAAUCCACAACCACGGUGAAGCUGACAACAGCACGAGCAACAAAGACAUGCCGAAUUCCACCUCUACAGACACUUCUGACUGUAAUGGAUCUGAACCAACAUUCGAGCAGAGAUCAUAUCCAGAUAUUAACGUGUCUAUACCUAUGGAGUAAAGUAAAGCUCGACGAAUCGAACCAAAACUUGACUAUAGUUCUUUUCUGCUUAGCUGAUUCCUUGUUUUGUGCUCAUGUCUGUGCUGAUUGUAAUUUUGAGGAAUCAUUAGGACUGCUUUAUUAGAAACUUUUUUUAAGUAUUAUGCUGACAUGACUAGAAAAAGGGCUAAUAUAUCUUUUGUUUUUCUGGUUGUUGUAAUGUUUUUAUAC